rnacentral:rRNA from 1 species
AUUGCCCUAGUAACGGCGAGUGAAGCGGCAACAGCUCAAAUUUGAAAUCUGGCUUCGGCCCGAGUUGUAAUUUGCAGAGGAUGUUUCUGGCGCGGUGCCUUCCGAGUUCCCUGGAACGGGACGCCACAGAGGGUGAGAGCCCCGUAUGGUCGGACACCAAGCCUGUGUGAAACUCCUUCGACGAGUCGAGUAGUUUGGGAAUGCUGCUCUAAAUGGGAGGUAAAUCUCUUCUAAAGCUAAAUACCGGCCAGAGACCGAUAGCGCACAAGUAGAGUGAUCGAAAGAUGAAAAGCACCUUGAAAAGGGGGUUAAAUAGUACGUGAAAUUGUUGAAAGGGAAGCACUUAUGACCAGACUUGGGCCGGGCGGCUCAUCAGGGGUUCUCCCCUGUGCACUCCGCCCGGCACAGGCCAGCAUCGGUUUUCGCGGGGGGAUAAGACCGACGGGAACGUAGCACCCUCCGGGGUGUGUUAUAGCCCGGCGGACGAUACCCUCGCGGGGACCGAGGUCCGCGCUCCGCAAGGAUGCUGGCGUAAUGGUCAUCAGUGACCCGUCUUGAAACACGGACCAAGGAGUCGUCCAUUAGAGCGAGCGUUUGGGUGUAAAACCCGCACGCGUAAUGAAAGUGAACGCAGGUGAGAGCUUCGGCGCAUCAUCGACCGAUCCUGAUGUUCUCGGAAGGAUUUGAGUAAGAGUUUUAACGGACGGACCCGAAAGACAGUGAACUAUGCUUGUAUAGGGUGAAGCCAGAGGAAACUCUGGUGGAGGCUCGCAGCGGUUCUGACGUGCAAAUCGAUCGUCAAAUAUGAGCAUGGGGGCGAAAGACUAAUCGAACU